rnacentral:sRNA from 1 species
AGUAAAACUAAUUGAGGAAAAAUUAAAAGUCUUUUGUUGUGUUAAAUUCUCUAUUAAUCUCACUCUUAAAAUUAAUUUUCUAAAAACAUUCAAUAAAUAAAAAAAUCAUAAUAAUGUAUCAAAUACUACUUUUAUUCUAUUUUACUUAUUUUUAUAUUUUUUUAUCAAUAGUUAUUAAUCCAUAAUGGCUAAAAAUUUACGUGUAUUGUAUUUUAGAUAAUUGCUAUCUAAC